rnacentral:tRNA from 1 species
GGAGGGUUGCCCGAGUGGCCAAUGGGAGCGGGCUGUAAACCCGCCGGCUUUUGCCUUCGUUGGUUCGAAUCCAACACCCUCCACCA